rnacentral:rRNA from 1 species
CGUAGGGUGCGAGCGUUAAUCGGAAUUACUGGGCGUAAAGCGUGCGCAGGCGGUUUGUAAGAUAGGCGUGAAAUCCCCGGGCUCAACCUGGGAACUGCGCUUAUGACUGGCUAAGCUAGAGUACGGCAGAGGGGGGUGGAAUUCCACGUGUAGCAGUGAAAUGCGUAGAGAUGUGGAGGAACACCAAUGGCGAAGGCAGCCCCCUGGGUCGAUACUGACGCUCAUGCACGAAAGCGUGGGUAGCAAACAGGAUUAGAUACCCUGGUAGUCCACGCCCUAAACGAUGUCAACUAGGUGUUGGGAGGGUAAAACCUUUUAGUACCGGAGCUAACGCGUGAAGUUGACCGCCUGGGGAGUACGGCCGCAAGGUUA